UAAAAAGGUUAUCAGAGGCAGUUAGAUACUGAGCUAACUAGAUCUUUUAAUUGUAAUUUGUUUGUUUUGCAGGUGAAAAUCCUCUCCCUAGGUAUACUGCUGGAAGCUGAUGACAAAUCUACCAGGCCGUAUGUUUGAUAGCAUACGUGGACUGCACACGUGACAAGCAAGAGUCAGUGCUUUGGGGCUCUAACUAAUAAGACCAGGAAAAGAUUCAAAAAGGAAAGAGAGGGGUACAGAACCACAUCACCGUGGAUACAUGGAGAUGUUCACGACUCCAGUCCUGCUCAUCCAGAGGAAUGCAAACACAAAAUGAUGUAUGUAAGUUUAUGUGUAACUUUUCUUGUAAUGUAAGCCUUCCAUGUGUUCCUGAAUAUGUCUGAUGCUGGUAGAUUGCACAUUGAGACAUGUCAGAGAGCCCAUACCAGCCUGUGUCUACAAUAGGCACAUAACCUUAGAGCAAUGCCUGAUAACGCUUGUUUCUUUUAAAUCUUGCAGAUGGCAUGUGCACCAUCUCCCUGAGGACAUGAUGGCAACAAGAGGCACUGUGGGGAGAACACAU